AUUGAACGCUGGCGGCAGGCCUAACACAUGCAAGUCGAACGAGCGGCGGACGGGUGAGUAAUGUCUGGGAAACUGCCCGAUGGAGGGGGAUAACUACUGGAAACGGUAGCUAAUACCGCAUACCAUCGGAUGUGCCCAGAUGGGAUUAGCUAGUAGGUGGGGUAACGGCUCACCUAGGCGACGAUCCCUAGCUGGUCUGAGAGGAUGACCAGCCACACUGUAACGGCGACACGGUCCAGACUCCUACGGGAGGCAGCAGUGGGGAAGAUUGCACAAUGGGCGCAAGCCUGAUGCAGCCAUGCCGCGUGUAUGAAGAAGGCCUUCGGGUUGUAACGUACGUUCAGCGAUGAGGCCUUACUCGCUGACGAAGCGCCGGCUAACUCCGUACCAGCAGCCGCGGUAAUUC
rnacentral:rRNA from 1 species